rnacentral:rRNA from 1 species
UUAGUGGCUACGAGGACGAACGCUGGCGGCGUGCUUAACACAUGCAAGUCGAACGGGACUGAUUGAAAGCUUGCUUUGAAAAGUCUAGUGGCAAACGGGUGAGUAACGCGUAGGCAACCUGCCUCUAAGAUGGGGACAACAGUCCGAAAGGACUGCUAAUACCGAAUGUUGUGAGUUUUUCCGCAUGGAAGAUUCAUUAAAGAUGGCCUCUAUUUAUAAGCUAUCACUUAGAGAUGGGCCUGCGUCUGAUUAGCUAGUUGGUGGGUAACGGCCCACCAAGGCGACGAUCAGUAGCCGGUCUGAGAGGAUGAACGGCCACAUUGGGACUGAGACACGGCCCAGACUCCUACGGGAGGCAGCAGUGGGGAAUCUUCCGCAAUGGGCGAAAGCCUGACGGAGCAACGCCGCCGUGAGUGAAGAAGGUCUUCGGAUCGUAAAGCUCUGUCGAAGGGGACGAACGUGGGUUCUAUCAACAACGGAACCUAAUGACGGUACCUUUCAAGAAAGCCACGGCUAACUACGUGCCAGCCGCCGC